UACGUAGGGGGCAAGCGUUGUCCGGAUUCAUUGGGCGUAAAGAGCUCGUAGGCGGUUCAGUAAGUCGGGUGUGAAAGCUCCGAGCUCAACUCGGAGAGGCCACCCGAUACUGCUGUGACUUGAGUCCAGUAGAGGAGCGUGGAACUCCUGGUGUAGCGGUGGAAUGCGCAGAUAUCAGGAAGAACACCUGCAGCGAAGGCGGCGCUCUGGGCUGGAACUGACGCUGAGGAGCGAAAGCGUGGGUAGCAAACAGG
rnacentral:rRNA from 1 species